CCAUGCUGUAAACGUUGUCUACUAGCCGUUGGGGGACAUGAUUCCUUAGUGGCGCAGCUAACGCGAUAAGUAAUCCGCCUGGGGAGUACGUACGCAAGUAUGAAACUCAAAGGAAUUGACGGGGGCCCGCACAAGCGGUGGAGCAUGUGGUUUAAUUCGAUGCAACGCGAAGAACCUUACCUGGCCUUGACAUACCAAGAAUUUGCUAGAGAUAGCGAAGUGCCUUCGGGAACUUGGAUACAGGUGCUGCAUGGCUGU
rnacentral:rRNA from 1 species